AUUGAACGCUGGCGGCAGGCUUAACACAUGCAAGUCGAGCGAGCGGCGGACGGGUGAGUAAUGUCUGGGAAACUGCCUGAUGGAGGGGGAUAACUACUGGAAACGGGAGCUAAUACCGCAUACCAUCAGAUGUGCCCAGAUGGGAUUAGCUAGUAGGUGGGGUAAUGGCUCACCUAGGCGACGAUCCCUAGCUGGUCUGAGAGGAUGACCGUCCACACUGGAACUGAGACACGGUCCAGACUCCUACGGGGGGCAGCAGGGGGGAAUAUAUCACAAUUGGCGAAAGCCUGAUGCAGCAAUGCCGCGUGUGUGAAGAAGGCCUUCGGGUUGUAAAGCACUUUCAGCGAGGAGGCGUUACUCGCAGAAGAAGCACCGGCUAACUCCGUGCCAGCCGCCGCGGUAAUAU
rnacentral:rRNA from 1 species